GUCCUUAAGCGCAAGGGAUAGCGCGUUGGACUUCUAAUCCAAAGGUCGUGGGUUCGAAUCUCAUUGGAAUGACC